UACGGGGGGAGCAAGCGUUGUUCGGAUUUACUGGGCGUAAAGGGCGCGUAGGCGGCCACCGCAAGUCAGUUGUGAAAUCUCCGGGCUUAACUCGGAAAGGUCAACUGAUACUGCGGGGCUAGAGUGCGGAAGGGGCAACUGGAAUUCUCGGUGUAGCGGUGAAAUGCGUAGAUAUCGAGAGGAACACCUGCGGCGAAGGCGGGUUGCUGGGCCGACACUGACGCUGAGGCGCGAAAGCUAGGGGAGCGAACGGG
rnacentral:rRNA from 1 species